UACGAAGGGUGCUAGCGUUGUUCGGAUUUACUGGGCGUAAAGCGUGCGUAGGUGGCUUUACAAGUCAGGGGUGAAAUCCUGGGGCUCAACCCCAGAAUUGCCUUUGAAACUGUAAAGCUAGAGUAUCGGAGGGGAUAGCGGAAUUGCUAAUGUAGAGGUGUAAUUCGUAGAUAUUAGCAGGAACACCGGUGGCGAAGGCGGCUAUCUGGACGAUUACUGACACUCUGGCACGAAAGCGCGGGGAUCAAACAGG
rnacentral:rRNA from 1 species